UACGGGGGGGGGGGCAAGCGUUAUCCGGAAUUAUUGGGCGUAAAGAGCUCGUAGGCGGUUUGUCGCGUCUGCCGUGAAAGUCCGGGGCUCAACUCCGGAUCUGCGGUGGGUACGGGCAGACUAGAGUGAUGUAGGGGGAGACUGGAAUUCCUGGUGUAGCGGUGGAAUGCGCAGAUAUCAGGAGGAACACCAAUGGCGAAGGCAGAUCUCUGGGCCGUAACUGACGCUGAGGAGCGAAAGCAUGGGGAGCGAACAGG
rnacentral:rRNA from 1 species